rnacentral:rRNA from 1 species
UCCUACGGGGGGCAGCAGUGGGGAAUAUUGCACAAUGGGGGAAACCCUGAUGCAGCGACGCCGCGUGAGUGAAGAAGUAUUUCGGUAUGUAAAGCUCUAUCAGCAGGGAAGAAAAUGACGGUACCUGACUAAGAAGCCCCGGCUAACUACGUGCCAGCAGCCGCGGUAAUACGUAGGGGGCAAGCGUUAUCCGGAUUUACUGGGUGUAAAGGGAGCGUAUACGGCAUGGCAAGUCAGAUGUGAAAGCCCGUGGCUCAACCCCGGGACUGCAUUUGAAACUGUCAGGC